rnacentral:lncRNA from 1 species
AUAGUUUGCAAGGUUACAUUUUAAUGAUUUUAAUUUGCUUUGCUUUCAGGCAAUGGUUCUGGGCACUUUGGCGGAGCACUCCCUGCCAUUCACAAUGGCCCCUGUCAUCGUCAACCUUGCUCGGAUGCUGGCCGAGGACAAAGUGGCUCUAAGUCGCAUGAAGCUGUCGCGAACAUCAGCGCAAUAUAAAAUGGUUCACGGCCUGGGGAAGACAUUCUCCGACCGCAUCCUCAGCAACACUGGGAAGUUACCAUUCUCCGUCAAUCUUGAUGAGGCCACCUCAAGGAGUGACAAAAAGGUGCUUUCCAUUUUGGUGAGCUAUUAUAACCCAGAGAGGAAGGCUGUUGAUGUGGAGCACCUUGGGUCAUUUGAAAUGGUGAAGGUCACCGCAGCAAUCCUGGAGAAUGCCCUGGACAGGUUUUUCAAAGACAACAAUAUCCCGUGGUCCAAUUUGGUGAGCAUGAUGAUGGACUCCUGUGCAGUGAUGCGGGGCAGCAAGACGGGCCUGGAAACCAGAGUGCGACACAACCUCUGCCCGGAGCUUCUAGACAUCGACGGGGACUCAUGCCAUCACAUUCAUAAUGCGUCAAAGAGAUUUUCCAGUCCUUUCAACGGUCAUCUAGAGCAGCUCUUCAGUGACCUUCAUGUUGAUCACAAGUGGGCUUCUGACCAGCGGGCUUACCUCCGAGAGAUCUGUAAAUACAUGAGCAUUCCUGGAUCAACUCCAAAGAGAUUCAUCCAGCAUCGUUGGCUGUCAUCUUAUGAUGUUGGAAUCAGCACUCAGACCAUGCUUCCUGCUUACAAGGUCCUGUACUUUGGGUUCAUGGAUAAAGAAGACAAGGCUCUCUACAAAGAACCUUGGGAACAACUUUAUGCUGCUCACCAUGUGAGUGAAAAGGCCCAGAGACACAUUCAGUCUUUUCACAAGGACCUCAGCGGGAAAGGAAUGACACAGCAGGGCAGAGACCGAAAGCAGCGGUUGGUCAAGAAACUGUGGCAUGAAGACACCAAAACAGAGCUCCAACUCAGUGUCUACACAGGUGUCCUGGCUGUUCUGAAAGAAUACGUCAUGGCAUUCCAGAGUCGUGACACCCUUGUGCACAAGUUGCAUGACAAGCAGCUGCAGGUUUUCACCAACUUCCUGGCAUUCUUUGUGAAGCCAGAACACCUGCCACCAAUCCCCAGGACCCUGGCAGGUCUCGAACUCGAGGGAGACAAACUGCUGCCGGCAAGAGACCUGUAUGUGGGUCGAGUGGAAGAUAGAUUCAGACGGGAGCAUCCUCAACACCAUCUGCUGAAGCCCUUCCUGGACCAAGUACUCCAGGCAUAA